rnacentral:rRNA from 1 species
UACGUAGGGUGCAAGCGUUAAUCGGAAUUGCUGGGCGUAAAGCGUGCGCAGGCGGCUAUGCAAGACAGAUGUGAAAUCCCCGGGCUCAACCUGGGAACUGCAUUUGUGACUGCAUGGCUAGAGUACGGCAGAGGGGGAUGGAAUUCCGCGUGUAGCAGUGAAAUGCGUAGAUAUGCGGAGGAACACCGAUGGCGAAGGCAAUCCCCUGGGCCUGUACUGACGCUCAUGCACGAAAGCGUGGGGAGCAAACAGG